AUGCUUCAUGCUAGUGAGACUUCUUCAUGCCUUGACUUACCUAUUUAUGAUGAAUAUGAUGAUGAACAUGUUGAGUUGCCUAGUUAUGAUGCUAUGCUCCAUAGGAUAUCAUGUGAAAAUUCUUUUGGUCACAUCAUGUUUGACAAUCCAUUGAACUUGUCAUAUGCUAUGAGUGAGAUCUCCCAUAUUGCAUCAUUUCAAUCUCAACAUAGUAACUAUGCAUGCCCCAUUAAAAUAAAUCAUAUUUGCACUUAUGGCAUAGAUGACGAGAUGAUGGUCAUUGGCUUUUGUUUUUCAUGUGAUGAUAUUGCCAUGCUUCCUUUACAUGAUUUUUGCAAUUCAUCUACUAUGCCAUGCCAUGAUCACAUUGUUCCAAAUAUGCUUUGUUUUGGAUGUUGUUAA
rnacentral:rRNA from 1 species